CGCACUGCGCCGGGGGCCGGCCGCGCGACCGCUUCACUGACGUCAAAACAACUCGCGACGGCGGCGGCGGUUGCUGCGGAGCCGCUCCCGGUGUCCCGCCCGUCCCGGUGUCCCGCCCGUCCCGGACCGACCGGCGAUCUUCUUGGACAUCCAUCAGAUUUCACUUUUCAAAUCAUGGAGGGAGAACAGAUUAUGGAGGGACAGCCACAGGUUCCAGAAAAUCCUCAUUCCGAAUAUGGCCUCACUGAAAAUGUAGAGAGGAUAGUAGAAAAUGAGAAACUAAAUGCUGAGAAAACGUCAAAGCAGAAGGUGGAUCUUCAGUCAUUACCCACACGUGCCUACUUGGAUCAGACAGUUGUACCUAUCUUGCUACAGGGACUUGCUGUUCUUGCAAAAGAGAGGUUUAUGAACCCAUGAGUUGCUGUGAUUGACCAUGCAGGAUGGAUUCCUCACUUAGGCACACACGGCAUGACAGGAGUUUUUUAUUGAAUUCAUGAUCUCCCAAUGAGGCAUAUUUGCUCACUGCCAGACCUUUGGUUUGACCUGCUGUGGAAUAAGUAUGUCAUUUAUUCUGUGGACAGAAUCCAGAUUAGCAGGAUUCACAUGGUAUAGCCAGAGGAGUUCUUUUAAAAAAAACUACGGACUAAGGCCAGUGAUCAAAAGUGUUUAUUAUUGACUACUUGUAAGUUACAGUACUUCUCAGACUUGAAGAUUUGUUGUGUUUCAGUUGCCAGAAACCAUGAAAUAACUCUUAAUACACUAAGCUACACAAUAACCACUCAAAAAAAAAAAAAAAAACAGAUUCAGUUUUACUUUAAAUAGCAUAAGUUAAAGAAAUUGGCAAAUUCAUGUCGUAUCCAAGGAUGUACAUACAGUAUUUAUGCUUACAGCUUGUGGUUUUAGGUAUGUAAGUAGGUAACUGUUCUAGCAAUUUAGUAACAUUGAACCCAUGGUGACUAAGACCCCUUUUUAAAAA